CACGUAGUUCUCCACCGGGAGGUCAUCUUUCUGAUCAUCAGAACUCCUUGUGUCCUGGUUGUGAGAACACCAAAUAGUAACCACCAAGAGUGCCCUGUGUCCUGGGUGCCAGGUCGGGCACUCUCCCUGGGAUCUCUGAUUGGAUCCUUUUACAUCGAGUCUCUAAGCUCAGGGGACAGCAACACUCACAGGCACAGCCCUCCCUGUUACCCCUGGACCCCAUCUCAGUGACCUCAUGAAGAGCCAAGACCAAAGCCCAGAGUCACAGACACCCUGGACUCACAGCCUCACAGUGGUCAGUGCUUGGACUAGGGGCUUCUAGUCCUCAGGGCAGAGCCUGCUCCUGCCCAGCCAUGGCGCCCACUGGGGCAGCCAGGCCUCUCCUUCCUGGGCCCUUCUCACUACUUCUACUCACAUGGCUGCCUGAGGGAUUCAUGUUGGCACGAGCAGGCUGCGUCUCCACUCCGGUGGGUUUCUUCCCCGAAGUGCCCUGCCAG
rnacentral:lncRNA from 1 species